rnacentral:rRNA from 1 species
CAGAGGUCCCAAGCGUUGUUCGGAUUCACUGGGCGUAAAGGGUGCGUAGGUGGCUUGGUAAGUUUGAUGUGAAAUCUCCGGGCUUAACCCGGAAAUGGCAUUGAAUACUAUCGGGCUGGAGGUUUGGAGGGGGGACUGGAAUUCUCGGUGUAGCAGUGAAAUGCGUAGAUAUCGAGAGGAACACCAGUGGCGAAGGCGAGUCCCUGGACAACACCUGACACUGAGGCACGAAAGCUAGGGGAGCAAACAGGAUUAGAUACCCUGGUAGUCCUAGCUGUAAACGGUGCACAUUUGCUGUAAAAGGAAUCGACCCCUUUUGUGGCGAAGCUAACGCGAUAAAUGUGCCGCCUGGGAAGUACGGUCGCAAGAUUA